ACCUUUAGCUCAACGGUUAGAGCAUCCGGCUCAUAACCGGGCGGUUGUAGGUUCGAAUCCUACAAGGUCC
rnacentral:tRNA from 1 species